UAGGGAAUCUUCGGCAAUGGGGGCAAACCUGACCGAGCAACGCCGCGUGAGUGAAGAAGGUUUUCGGAUCGUAAAGCUCUGUUGUAAGAGAAGAACGUGUGUGAGAGUGGAAAGUUCACACAGUGACGGUAACUUACCAGAAAGGGACGGCUAACUACGUGCCAGCAGCCGCGGUAAUACGUAGGUCCCGAGCGUUGUCCGGAUUUAUUGGGCGUAAAGCGAGCGCAGGCGGUUUAAUAAGUCUGAAGUUAAAGGCAGUGGCUUAACCAUUGUUCGCUUUGGAAACUGUUAAACUUGAGUGCAGAAGGGGAGAGUGGAAUUCCAUGUGUAGCGGUGAAAUGCGUAGAUAUAUGGAGGAACACCGGUGGCGAAAGCGGCUCUCUGGUCUGUAACUGACGCUGAGGCUCGAAAGCGUGGGGAGCAAACAGG
rnacentral:rRNA from 1 species